UUACCGGCUCGAAUGGACAGAAAUUCCUUCGGGCCAAGGUGCUGCAUGGUUGUCGUCAGCUCGUGCCGUGAGGUGUUGGGUUAAGUCCCGCAACGAGCGCAACCCUAUCUUAGUUGCNAGCAUAUGGGACUCUAAGAGACUGCCGGCGCAACCGGAGGAAGGUGGGGAUGACGUCAAAUCAUCAUGGCCUUUAUGCCGGGCGACACACGUGCUACAAUGGAGUACAAGGGGCACCGUGAGGGGAGCAAUCUCUACUGUCCCAGUUCGGAUUGAAGUCUGCAACUCGACUUCAUGAAGGUGGAAUCGCUAGUAAUCGCGAUCAGCACGCGCGGUGAAUACGUUCCCGGACCUUGUACACACCGCCCGUCAAGCCAUGGAAGCUGGGGGCCGAA
rnacentral:rRNA from 1 species